GGCCGGGUCGUCCAAUGGUAGGACAUGGAACCGUCAAGCUUUGACACUAUUCCAACGAAUGCAGGUUCGAGUCCUGCUCCGGCCG